CAUUAAAAAAUAUACGUCAUAGAGAGGAAAAUCCUUCGGCACCGUUACAGCCACUCGCCUGACCAGGCGACCUUUCGCAUUGCGACACACGUAUAGGCGUUUACCAGCUAUCACGGAGAGGCGAUCUAGUGCAGAUCUGUCUAUCAGAUUGAUGGCAGCCUGCACAAUGAAGGGCGCGGCGCAUAGCUCGCUCGUCAACAAAUCAUGCUCGAUGGCGCCUGUUCUGAACCGCUUACGAACAAACGUGGGAGUGUCUCGAAAUAUCACGGUCAAUAACCACCAGAUUUAAGGCAUAUAAAAUUUUGUAAAAUAAAAAAAUAAAAUAGUCACUGGGAUCUGAGAAAACAUCUUCACAACAUAAGAAUAACUCGGUAAACAAAGGAAACCCAGCGAAUGGAAGUGCAGCAACGAUAAUCAGUGUCCUAGUUCUUCUUAGGAGAAGGAUCGAGUCGAUUGAACUGAACUAAGGAAGUGGCCCAUUUCAAGUGGGAAAGUACAGCAAUCCAGAAAGCUGCAGUGCCUAGUAUCUAUCAUCACCAUCAUCAGACACGUUUCAGAAUUUCUCCAAUUUAUAUAUAUUUUUUUAAACGAAUGGAAAAAAACUAGCACGUGAUUAUGUGUCAAUUUGGAACCAACUUGCAAGAAUGAAAGGUUAUGUUUGUAUUAAAAUAAAAUAAUAUAAUAAUAAAAAUUGUCAAUUAGAUGUUGAU